CACGUAGGGUGCGAGCGUUGUCCGGAAUUAUUGGGCGUAAAGAGCUCGUAGGCGGUGUGUCGCGUCGGCCGUGAAAACCUGGGGCUUAACUCUGGGCUUGCGGUCGAUACGGGCAUCACUUGAGUUCGGCAGGGGAGACUGGAAUUCAUGGUGUAGCAGUGAAAUGCGUAGAGAUCAUGAGGAAGACCAGUGGCGAAGGCGGGUCUCUGGACAGUUCCUGACACUGAGGCACGAAGGCCAGGGGAGCAAACGGG
rnacentral:rRNA from 1 species